UACGAAAGGGGGGGGCUAGCGUUUGUUUCGGGAAUUACUGGGGCGUUAAAGCGCGCGCAGGGCGGGUUUUCCCAAGUCAGUGGGUGAAAGCCCCGGGAGCUCAACUCCGGGAACUGCCAUUGAAAACUGUUUAAACUUGAGGGACGAGAGAGGUGAGUGGAAUUCCCCAGUGUAGAGGUGAAAUGCGCAGAUAUCAGGAGGAACACCAA
rnacentral:rRNA from 1 species